rnacentral:rRNA from 1 species
CGGAGAAAGAGCCUGAGAAACGGCUACCACAUCCAAGGAAGGCAGCAGGCGCGUAAAUUACCCAAUCUAGAAACUAGGAGGUAGUGACAAUAAAUAACGAUGCCGGGCCUUUAUAGGUCUGGCAAUUGGAAUGAGAACAAUUUAAACCCCUUAUUGAGGAUCAAUUGGAGGGCAAGUCUGGUGCCAGCAGCCGCGGUAAUUCCAGNUCCAAUAGCGUAUAUUAAAGUUGUUGCAGUUAAAAAGCUCGUAGUUGAAUUUGUGGUGUUGCCUGUGGUCCAAAAUGUUUUGGUACUGUUGAGCACUGCCAUCCUUGGGUGGAACCUGUGANGCAUUAGGUUGUUUUGCAGGGGAUGCCCAUCUUUUACUGUGAAAAAAUUAGAGUGUUCAAAGCASGCUUAUGCCAUUGAAUAUAUUAGCAUGGAAUAAUGAGAUAGGACUUUGGUACUAUUUUGUUGGUUUGYGCACCAAAGUAAUGAUUAAUAGGGACAGUUGGGGGUAUUCGUAUUUCCAUUGUCACAGGUGAAAUUCUUGGAUUUUUUGGAA